GGCCUCGCGGCCGCCGCCGCCGCCUGGUGCAUGUUCUGGGCCAGGUAGCCCCCGGGGUCGCCGCUGGGGAGGCCGAAGAGCCCCGGGGGCGGGUAGGCGUGGGGGGAGCGGCGGGGAGGGUAGAGCGGGUUGUGGCAGCUGCGCGAGCUGUGCGAGCGGGGGUUCAGACGGGACGGCGGGUCGGGGGCUCUCUGGAACCGCAGCAAGGGGUCCUGGGGGGGUUGGACGUCGUAGGCCUGGCGGUGGUACUGGCCCCGGCCCCCCGAGGAGGCGCGGCGCGAGGCCCCCGCCUGCUGGAAGGAGGAGCAGCUGAACAAGGCGGCGGCGUAGGGCGGCGGCGGGGGGACGGCGUCGGCGCCCGGGUACUGGCGGCCCCUGAAGUGCGUCUGGUGGCGGGAGGAGGAGGAGGAGGAAGGGCCGGGGCGGCUCGGGCUGUCGCUGUCCGCCUCGUUGCCGUCCUCCUCCGCCGCCAUCUUGGCCAUGAGCAGCUCGGCGAGGUUCUGACCCGAGAGCGGCUCGGCGUCCUCGUCCUCGGACCAGGAGCGCUUGGCCGCCGCCGCCGCCGCCG
ensembl:lncRNA